UACGUAGGGGGCAAGCGUUGUCCGGAUUUAUUGGGCGUAAAGAGCGUGUAGGCGGUUUGGUAGGUCCGCUGUGAAAACUCGAGGCUCAACCUCGAGACGCCGGUGGAAACCAUCAGGCUAGAGUCCGGAAGAGGAGAGUGGAAUUCCUGGUGUAGCGGUGAAAUGCGCAGAUAUCAGGAAGAACACCCGUGGCUAAGGCGGCUCUC
rnacentral:rRNA from 1 species